CCUACGGGAGGCAGCAGUAGGGAAUCUUCCACAAUGGACGAAAGUCUGAUGGAGCAACGCCGCGUGAGCGAUGAAGGCCUUCGGGUCGUAAAGCUCUGUUGUCAGGGAAGAACAAGUAUCGGAGUAACUGCCGGUACCUUGACGGUACCUGACCAGAAAGCCACGGCUAACUACGUGCCAGCAGCCGCGGUAAUACGUAGGUGGCAAGCGUUGUCCGGAAUUAUUGGGCGUAAAGCGCGCGCAGGCGGUCCUUUAAGUCUGAUGUGAAAGCCCACGGCUCAACCGUGGAGGGUCAUUGGAAACUGGGGGACUUGAGUGCAGAAGAGGAAAGCGGAAUUCCACGUGUAGCGGUGAAAUGCGUAGAGAUGUGGAGGAACACCAGUGGCGAAGGCGGCUUUCUGGUCUGUAACUGACGCUGAGGCGCGAAAGCGUGGGGAGCAAACAGGAUUAGAUACCNUGGUAGUCCACGCCGUAAACGAUGAGUGCUAAGUGUUAGAGGGUUUCCGCCCUUUAGUGCUGCAGCUAACGCAUUAAGCACUCCGCCUGGGGAGUACGGCCGCAAGGCUGAAACUCAAAGGAAUUGACGGGGGCCCGCACAAGCGGUGGAGCAUGUGGUUUAAUUCGAAGCAACGCGAAGAACCUUAC
rnacentral:rRNA from 1 species